rfam:Glycine max cultivar Williams 82 chromosome 9, whole genome shotgun sequence.
GGCUCAUUAGCUCAGUUGGUUAAAGCAUUAUGCUAAUAACGUGAAAGUCAGAGGUUCGAGUCUUGCUUGGGCCA